GACAGAGGUGCCGAGCGUUAGGCGGAAUCACUGGGCUUAAAGCGUGUGUAGGCGGAGUUCUAAGUACCUUGUGAAAUCCCACGGCUUAACCGUGGAACUGCUUGGUAUACUGGUUCUCUUGGGCCAUCUAGGGGCUACUGGAACAAACGGUGGAGCGGUGAAAUGCGUAGAUAUCAGGAAGAACACCUAUGGCGAAGGCAGCUCUCUGGGACGGUACUGACGCUGAGACGCGAAAGCGUGGGGAGCGAACAGG
rnacentral:rRNA from 1 species